rnacentral:rRNA from 1 species
CCUACGGGAGGCAGCAGUGGAGAAUAUUGCACAAUGGGCGAAAGCCUGAUGCAGCAACGCCGCGUGAGCGAUGAAAGCCUUCGGGUCGUAAAGCUCUGUCCUCAAGGAAGAUAAUGACAAUACUUGAGGAGGAAGCGCCGGUUAACUACGUGCCAGCAGCCGCGGUAAUAGGUGGGGGGCUAGCGUUAUCCGGAAUUACUGGGGGUAAAGGGUGCGUGGGUGGUUUCUUAAGUCAGAGGUGAAAGGCUACGGCUCAACCGUAGUAAGCCUUUGAAACUGGGGAACUUGAGUGCAGGAGAGGAGAGUGGAAUUCCUAGUGUAGCGGUGAAAUGCGUAGAUAUUAGGAGGAACACUAGUUGCGAAGGCGGCUCUCUGGACUGUAACUGACACUGAGGCACGAAGGCGUGGGGAGCAAACAGGAUUAGAUACCCUUGUAGUC